CCGAACCAGUGUUUAUCUUACAUAUAUGGAUUGAUGUCUUGUGUCUCCCUAAAAUGUAUAAAACCAAGCUGUGCCCCGACCACCUUGGGCACAUGUCGUCAGGACCUCCUGAGGCUGUCACGGGCGCAUCCUCAACCUGGGCAAAAUAAACUUUCUAAAUUAACUGAGACCUGUCCCGGAUAUUUGGGGUUUACACUCUGUAGGAUAUAUACAAAUCUAUAUGUAAAUAUAAAUUUAUUUGUUUAUUCAUUUAUUUAAAGGAAUUGGCUGAUGUGAUUGUGGAGGUCAGCAAGUCCAAAAUCUUCGAGAUGUGCCGGCAGGCUGGUGAUCUGGGGAAGAGUUGCUGUCGUACCUGAACUCUGAGAGCCGUCUGCUGGCAGAAUUCUCUCUUCCUCGGAGGAGAAUCACCAUGAGAACAGCUGGGACUCAUUGACCAAUGGCAGCUGGAUGACCCGCAGUCGCCAUCCACUGAAUCCUUCCAGAAACACCUGCACGUGGAGGCAGGUGUUGCUGUCUCCCCAUUUUGCAGGUGGAGCAGGAGGGUGCACACACCACCGACAGCAUCAGCCUGUGGGGACACGGUGGGAGAAGCCAGGAGCCCAGCUGCUCACAGCAGGAUGGACAUGGCGAGACCGGGCAGGGCCCUGCAAAGCCUUCCCAGCCACUACUGUUAUACAAAAAACAGACGAUCUCCCUGCUUGGACGUCAGACCAAAAUAUCCUAUUCCCGGCGUACCUUGAGAGAGAAAUCAAAGGGGCUUGUUUACUCCCAAAUGAAAACUUCCAAAAUUCCAAAUCCUGCAGGAUUGGCUUAUUUCACUGUGAGGAAAAUGCAUGCUGA
rnacentral:lncRNA from 1 species